GACGAACGCUGGCGGCGUGCUUAACACAUGCAAGUCGAACGAAGAGCGAUGGAAGCUUGCUUCUCUCAAUCUUAGUGGCGAACGGGUGAGUAACGCGUAAUCAACCUGCCCUUCAGAGGGGGACAACAGUUGGAAACGACUGCUAAUACCGCAUACGAUCUAACCUCGGCAUCGAGGAUAGAUGAAAGGUGGCCUCUACAUGUACGCUAUCACUGAAGGAGGGGAUUGCGUCUGAUUAGCUAGUUGGAGGGGUAACGGCCCACCAAGGCGAUGAUCAGUAGCCGGUCUGAGAGGAUGAACGGCCACAUUGGGACUGAGACACGGCCCAGACUCCUACGGGAGGCAGCAGUGGGGAAUCUUCCGAAAUGGACGAAAGUCUGACGGAGCAACGCCGCGUGAGUGAUGACGGCCUUCGGGUUGUAAAGCUCUGUUAAUCGGGACGAAAGGCCUUCUUGCGAAUAGUUAGAAGGAUUGACGGUACCGGAAUAGAAAGCCACGGCUAACUACGUG
rnacentral:rRNA from 1 species